rnacentral:lncRNA from 1 species
CACGGUACCCCUCAAGUUCCCUGUCAAUUGACUCGGAAUCCAUAGAGGUGGAAGCCAAUGAUGAUGACUGCUUCUGGUCAGCCUCUUCUUCAGUCUCAGACUCAUCCACUACCUCCAAUGCCACGCUGCCAGAAACAUUUCCUGAGAAGUCCACCACAGAUGAUUCAUCUCCGAUAAUUGUCUGCUCUGUUGCUUCAUUAACUGACUCAACAUCCAUGGAUGUGGAAGACAAUGCAGGAGGCUGAUUUUGGUCAGCCUCUUCUUCAGUCUCGGCCACACCUUCCAGCCCCGCGCUGCUAGAAACAUUUCCUGCAAAUUCCACCCCAGAUUCUUCUUCCGCGGUACUUGCCUGCUCUGUUGCGUCACCACUGAGCGUCCCGUUGCUUCUGCCAAGAUCACCGUCUUCAUCAGCGCUGCCAUGUUCAAUCUUCUUGGUGGAGGUCCAAGAAUCGGCAGAAGGUCUUGGAGCAUAUCCUCUAGAGGCAGUGCCCUUGGGCUUAGGAGCUGACGAUCUCCUCGGAUUCCUC